AGGGACACUCGCUUAAGGAUUAGCAAAUGUCAAAAUAAACAGUUUAGUCGAUUAGAUAACGUAACUCCUCAUAUCCAACACAAGUGUUGGAUUAUAAGUGUAACAUAAAUGAAAAAGUAUUCUGCUGAAAUAUAAAGUGCACUCCUUUUUUUUUUUUUUUUUUUUUUUUUUUGAGAAAAUAUAGAUAUGGUAAUUGGAAUGUCAGUACGAUUAAAAAAAUACAAUGGAAUUUUGAUAAGCAAUAUAUACUUUACUACUUAUGACUGCCAUCUUAUCUAAUUAAUAUAUUUCAAAAAUGACUGUUUACCAAGCAAAACAAUUUAAAAGAUUUGGAAAGAAAAAGGACGAAACAUUGAAAGUAUUAAAGAGUAAUGAAGGAGGAAAGGAAUGAACUGUGACCCGAAGAAAUGUAUGCGAUGUUUUCGUGAAAUAAGCAACUGCGCAGAUUUAUAGCCAGAAAUAUUUUCGGACCAAAUUCAAGGCAAAUGAACCCCCGAACAAACUUUUAGUGCCAAUCAUGUCAUAUAAAAAUAAAAAAUUCGUCUUUGACGAAUGUUUAAUUAAUGCCAAACGAUAUACUCAUUUGACUUAAUAUAUAAUAAGUAAAACCUAAUGUAAAUUUUACAGUUUCCGGGGAUAACAUUUUAUUUAAUAGAAGUAAAUACAUUUAAUUUUAUCUGAUGCUAAUUAAUUUUACUACGUAUAGUAAUAACAAUUAAUUAUCAUUUAUCAAUUCUGACUUGGAGUUAUUGAACAUUAUAAUACAUCAUAGCAAAAGAAACUGCUUUUUGUAUUAACUGAAAAAUAAAAGUCGCCGUUAAAAGAGAUAUUAUCAUCAACAACUUAUUACUAUAUACCUGAGAAAAAACUUCAUGCGAUGAAACGAAUAAUCCACCGAUCGAAAGCAUGCAUGGCUUCAUACUUCUUGCUAUCAUAAAUAACAAUAUCUUUUGAGUUUUUAUAGGUAAUAAGUAGAAAGGAA